rnacentral:rRNA from 1 species
GUGGGGAAUAUUGGGCAAUGGGCGCAAGCCUGACCCAGCAACGCCGCGUGAGGGAAGAAGGUUUUCGGAUUGUAAACCUCUGUCGCAGAAGACGAAGGAAGUGACGGUAUUCUGUGAGGAAGCCCCGGCUAACUACGUGCCAGCAGCCGCGGUAAUACGUAGGGGGCGAGCGUUGUCCGGAAUUACUGGGCGUAAAGGGAGCGUAGGCGGUCUGAUAAGUUGGAUGUGAAAUACCCGGGCUUAACUUGGGGGGUGCAUCCAAUACUGUUGGACUAGAGUACAGGAGAGGAAAGCGGAAUUCCUAGUGUAGCGGUGAAAUGCAUAGAUAUUAGGAGGAACAUCGGUGGCGAAGGCGGCUUUCUGGACUGCAACUGACGCUGAGGCUCGAAAGCGUGGGGAGCAAACAGGAUUAGAAACCCCAGUAGUCC